UAGGGAAUUUUUCACAAUGAGCGAAAGCUUGAUGGAGCAAUGCCGCGUGAACGAUGAAGGUCUUUAAGAUUGUAAAGUUCUUUUAUUUGGGAAGAAUGACUUUAGCAGGUAAUGGCUAGAGUUUGACUGUACCAUUUUGAAUAAGUGACGACUAACUAUGUGCCAGCAGUCGCGGUAAUACAUAGGUCGCAAGCGUUAUCCGGAUUUAUUGGGCGUAAAGCAAGCGCAGGCGGGUUGAAAAGUCUGGUGUUAAAGGCAGCUGCUUAACAGUUGUAUGCAUUGGAAACUAUUAAUCUAGAGUGUGGUAGGGAGUUUUGGAAUUUCAUGUGGAGCGGUGAAAUGCGUAGAUAUAUGAAGGAACACCAGUGGCGAAGGCGAAAACUUAGGCCAUUACUGACGCUUAGGCUUGAAAGUGUGGGGAGCAAAUAGGAUUAGAUACCCUAGUAGUCCACACCGUAAACGAUAGAUACUAGCUGUCGGGGCGAUCCCCUCGGUAGUGAAGUUAACACAUUAAGUAUCUCGCCUGGGUAGUACAUUCGCAAGAAUG
rnacentral:rRNA from 1 species